AAUCAACGCUGGCGGCGUGCCUAACACAUGCAAGUCGGACGUGAAAGGGGUUUCGGCCCUGAGUAGCGUGGCGGACGGGUGAGGAACGCGUGGGUGACCUGCCCUGCAGAGGGGGAUAACCCUCCGAAAGGGGGGCUAAUACCGCAUGAGCCCGAGAGGGGAAAGACGGUGAGUCGCUGCGGGAGGGGCCUGCGUCCGAUUAGCUGGUUGGUGGGGUAAGAGCCCACCAAGGCGACGAUCGGUAGCCGGUCUGAGAGGACGGACGGCCACACUGGGACUGAGAUACGGCCCAGACUCCUACGGGAGGCAGCAGUGGGGUAAUUUUGGGCAAUGGGCGAAAGCCUGACCCAGCAACGCCGCGUGGAGGAAGAAGGCCUUCGGGUUGUAAACUCCUGUCCCGAGGGACGAAGUAGGUGACGGUACCUUGGGAGGAAGCCCCGGCUAACUCCGUG
rnacentral:rRNA from 1 species